AAGGAAAUGAAGAAUUUGUGAACCUGUAGUACUUGGCCAAUGAGGAAAUGGGAGGAAUUAAGCAUUGGGUAAUA